rnacentral:rRNA from 1 species
AUUGAACGCUGGCGGCGUGCCUAACACAUGCAAGUCGAGCGGUAACAGGUGUAGCAAUACAUGCUGACGAGCGGCGAACGGGUGAGUAAUGCUUCGGAAUCUACCUUAUGGUGGGGAAUAACUAGCCGAAAGGUUAGCUAAUACCGCAUACGUCCUACGGGAGAAAGCAGGGGAUCGCAAGACCUUGCGCCAAAAGAUGAGCCGAAGUCGGAUUAGCUAGUUGGUAGGGUAACGGCCUACCAAGGCGACGAUCCGUAGCUGGGCUGAGAGGACGACCAGCCAAACUGGGACUGAGGCACGGCCCAGACUCCUACGGGAGGCAGCAGUGGGGAAUAUUGGACAAUGGGGGAAACCCUGAUCCAGCGACGCCGCGUGUGUGAAGAAGGCCUGCGGGUUGUAAAGCACUUUUAGUGGGGAUGAAAUGUGCAGGGUUAAUACCUCUGCAUUUUGACCUAACCCACAGAAAAAGCACCGGUUAACUCUGUGCCAGCCGCCGCGGUAA